rnacentral:tRNA from 1 species
GGGGGUGUAGCUCAGCGGUAGAGCAUCGCUCUUUUAAGGCGGUGGCCGUGGGUUCGAAUCCCACCACCCUCA